rnacentral:rRNA from 1 species
UUUUGGACAAUGGGGGCAACCCUGAUCCAGCCAUGCCGCGUGAGUGAAGAAGGCCUUCGGGUUGUAAAGCUCUUUCGGACGCACCGAAAUGGGCGGGACUAAUACUCCUGUCUGAUGACGGUACCGUAAGAAGAAGCACCGGCUAACUACGUGCCAGCAGCCGCGGUAAUACGUAGGGUGCGAGCGUUAAUCGGAAUUACUGGGCGUAAAGCGUGCGCAGGCGGUUUCGUAAGCUGGAGGUGAAAUCCCCGGGCUUAACCUGGGAAUGGCCUUCAGGACUGCGAGGCUAGAGUGCGGCGGAGGGAGGUGGAAUUCCACGUGUAGCAGUGAAAUGCGUAGAGAUGUGGAGGAACACCGAUGGCGAAGGCAGCCUCCUGGGCCAGCACUGACGCUCAUGCACGAAA